AUGGAAACUCUGAUUAUGUCCAAUUGCUCACUUGAAACCUUUCCUGACAAUAUCUGUAGCCUCCACAAACUUUGUUAUCUGGACCUAUCCGGUAAUAGAAGCCUUGAUAAGCUACCUACCUCAUUGGGUAAGCUCUCUAAACUCUCUUUCCUCAACUUUUCUGGGUGUUCCGUCCUCCAAGAGUUGCCGGAAUCCAUCUGCCAGCUGACAUGUUUACAACACCUAGAUAUGUCAGAGUGUCGUGCCAUUCAAAAUCUCCCUUAUAAAUUUGGUAGCCUUCCAACACUCAUAUUCCUAAACAUGUCAGGUUGUUCUAAGAUAACCAAACUACCUGACAAUCUUAUACUUCAGUCUUUAGAGCAUAUGAACCUAUCAAAUUGCCAUGAGCUAGAGAACCUGCCAAAAGAUUUUGGCAACCUUCAAAGGCUUGAGUUCUUGAGCCUUUCUGAUUGCUACAAGGUUUCAUUGCUGCCAGAAUCAUUUUGCCAACUUAAUCAUCUAAAAUUCUUAGAUCUUUCAGACUGCCAUGAGCUCAUGGAACUCCCUGAAUGUUUUAGUCACCUUGUUGAGCUUGACUCUUUGAACCUAACAAGUUGUUGCAAGUUGCAAGUACUGCCCGAGUCAUUCUGCAAGUUGUCUAAGCUGCGGUACCUCAGUUUGUCUUAUUGUAUGAGGCUUGAUAAGCUCCUACCCUCGUUCGGUGACCUUAAGCUUCAAUCAUUGGACAUAUCUUGUACAGAAUCUCUCAAUGCCUUGCCAGAUAGCAUUGAUGAAAUGACAAGUCUCACUCGAUUUGAGGCCAGGCAAGGAGCUCCUGAUGUGAUCGCACGUGUUGAGGAAAUUAAAAAGCAUCUUAUUAUUUCAGGAGAAAUAGAACAUGUUGUACAACAGAGAGAAAAUAAAGGAUGCAGCAGUAUAGUGGAACUUGCAGAUUUAACUUGUUAUGCGUUGGAUGUUCAAGAGCUUCAGAAUGUCAAGCAUCCAGAAGACGCGGAGAGAGCAAAGUUGCGUGAUAAAUCAGAUCUGAGGCAACUAACUCUUCGCUGGGGAACCAACGGAGGCCAGGAUUAUUUUGGGGACUAAUGGGGGCGUAUGGAAGCCUCUUUUUCUACUAGUGCACCUCCCCGGACUCUUGAUUAUUUUCGUAUAAAGGGGUAUAUGAGCAAGGAUUUCCCUAAAUGGAUAUGUGACAUCUCUUCCUACCUCCCUUCUCUGACCUACCUCAGCCUUUGUGAUUUAGGAUCAUGUGAUACUCUUCCUCCAUUUGGGCAGCUGCCAAAUUUAAGAAGCAUAUGUACGCAGAAAAUGCCCAACAUCAGGAAAAUAGGCAAUGAAUUCUUUGGGCAGGGCAGACCCUGUGUAAAAUUAAGAUCGAUAAUGUUGGAGUUGAUGGAGAAUUUAACUGAAUUGUGGACAACAAGGUCUGGUGAAGAAAAUGAAGAGUUCUUAAUUCCUAAUUUGCACUCUUUGUGUGUGUCGAACUGCCCAAAAUUGAAGUUUCUGCCAUAUCCGCCAAGAAGUAUGAUUUGGUACUUGGAAAACACUGAUGAGAUUAUUGCAGAAGGAGGAUUUGGGAAGCUUUCAUCUUCUGCACUUCCUUUUGAUAUGGUAAUAAAUAACUGCAGUUUUUCUCCAGACAAUUGGGAUAGGCUUCAUCACUUCCCCACCCUUGAAGUAUUUCAAGUUGAGUCCAGCAACGUCUUGAGGGCAUUGCCAGAUGUCAUUAGAUGCUUCACCUCUCUGAAAAGCCUAACUUUGAAUUCAUUGAAGGAAUUGGAGUCACUACCGAAAUGGUUGGGGUGCUUCAUUUCCCUGCAACGUGUUGUCAUCAAGGAUUGUCCCAAGCUAACAUCUUUACCAUAAAGCAUGAAGAACCUUACUGCUCUGAAACUGCUACAGCUGUGGGGGUGCAAAGGCUGGGAAAUAUUGCCGGAAUGGAUAGGGCUGCUCACUUCCCUACAAGAUUUUGAAAUCAUUGAUUGUCCCAACCUGACAACUUUGCCACCUGAAAGCAUGAAGAAGCUUACCGCUCUCAGAGUCCUAUGUUUGAAGGAGUGCCAACGCCUACAUGUACUGCCAGAAUGGAUACAAGAACUCAUUUCCUUAGAAGAAUUAAUCAUCAUGGAUUGCCCCAACCUGACGUCUUUGCCUGAAAGCAUACAACACCUUACAGCCUUAAAGGAACUCUACAUUUGGGGCUGUCCUAUUCUGAUCGAGAGGUGCCAUGGGGAAGAUGCUGGCCUUGUUUCUCACAUCCAAAAAGUCACGUUACAUUAUGAACCAGAAGAAUGA
rnacentral:rRNA from 1 species